rnacentral:rRNA from 1 species
UACGGGGGGGGCAAGCGUUGUUCGGAAUUACUGGGCGUAAAGGGCUCGUAGGCGGCCAACUAAGUCGGAUGUGAAAUCCCCAGGCUUAACCUGGGAACUGCAUCCGAUACUGGAUGGCUUGAAUCCGGGAGAGGGAUGCAGAAUUCCAGGUGUAGCGGUGAAAUGCGUAGAUAUCUGGAGGAAUACCGGUGGCGAAGGCGGCAUCCUGGACCGGCAUUGACGCUGAUGAGCGAAAGCUAGGGGGAGCAAACGGG